rnacentral:rRNA from 1 species
UACGUAGGGUGCGAGCGUUGUCCGGAAUUAUUGGGCGUAAAGAGCUCGUAGGCGGUCUGUCGCGUCGGAUGUGAAAACUCGGGGCUCAACCCCGAGCCUGCAUUCGAUACGGGCAGACUAGAGUUCGGUAGGGGAGACUGGAAUUCCUGGUGUAGCGGUGAAAUGCGCAGAUAUCAGGAGGAACACCCGUGGCGAAAGCGGCUCUCUGGGACGGUACUGACGCUGAGACGCGAAAGCGUGGGGAGCAAACAGG